rnacentral:rRNA from 1 species
AAUUUGCCUUUAGGAGGGGGAUAACAAUUGGAAACGAAUGCUAAUACCCCAUAUGCUUCUUAGUGAAAUGGAUUUUAUCCGCCUAAAGAGAAGCUCGCGGCUGAUUAGCUUGUUGGUAAGGUAAGAGCUUACCAAGGCGACGAUCAGUAUCUGGUUUGAGAGGACGAUCAGACACACUGGAACUGAGACACGGUCCAGACUCCUACGGGAGGCAGCAGUGGGGAAUUUUCCGCAAUGGGCGAAAGCCUGACGGAGCAAUACCGCGUGAGGGAAGACUGCCCAUGGGUUGUAAACCUCUUUUUUCAGGGAGGAAUAAAAUGACGUGUACCUGAAGAAUAAGCAUCGGCUAACUCCGUGCCAGCAGCCGCGGUAAGACGGAGGAUGCAAGUGUUAUCCGGAAUCACUGGGCGUAAAGCGUCUGUAGGUGGUUUAAUAAGUCAACUGUUAAAUCUUGAGGCUCAACUUC